GCCAAUAACGAGCCACCUAAUGAGUCGGCAAGAUGAGUGAAGCGGAACUGACUCAAUCUGCCUCUAACAAAGGUGGUCCGGUUACUCCAGUCUCAUGGACUAAUCUUGCUACCUUCAAAGUGGUUACUAAUCGUACAUUAUUCCGCAAGGCAAAAGAAUGGAUGGUAUAUUUUACAGAGGAAUGUUUGAAAGCUUGGCCAGACGUGAGUCAAGAUGAUCCACCUCAACUUUUCUGCAAGGCUGGUAACUCUUUCACCCACCAGGCAUGUAUUUCUUUAAUGACCUCUUGUUUAGUCAAUGGUCAUUAUCUCUCUUUUUCCCAUAUAAAUACUGGUGACCCUUUUGGGACACUCCAUUUGCCUCAGUUAUCACAUUUCAUUUUCACAACACUAUAAGGUAAUUAUCUUCAAAAGAGAAUUAGCUAUUACUGGCCUUAAUUUGGUACCACGUAUGUUUUUUCUACAGUCAGUUUAUUUCUCUUAUCACACCGGCUUUGUUGAUUUUACUUUUGAAGUGCUGCACUAGAUUACUCUUGUGCACAUUGCUCUUACUACGCCGACUUGCUUUUGAAGUGAUACACAUCCAUUGUUUAAAUUCGCCAGCAUCAUUAUGGUCGGAUCCUAUGCACAUUGUUCUUAUUGCAACAACUUGCUUUUGAAGUGCUCUACUGUUCUUAGCAUGUCCCAGUGCUGUGACCUGUGCAUAAGCAGUACAUCACCAUGAUAAAUUCUCUUCCAGUUUUAUUAUUCGAUUCAUGUGCACAUCGUUUGAGCUAUUUGCAAAAGUUAUCUAUUAUCUAUAGAAGAUCUAUGGUGCACAUAUGUUUCCUUGGUUUUCCAUUUCGUCAUUCUUUUGUUUGCCAUAUCGCAUUUUGUAUCUGAUGUGUAUGGUAAUUCAGUCUUGUCAGGAUUGAUGUUGUUCUUUGCACUUCUUCACGCUGCCAUUAAUAACCACCCAGCCUCUUUGCAGGUGAUCCUGAUGGCACAGUCUCCCAUACAGUGCCUGGUAGCUUGACUACUCUUGCUAAAAAUUCAGCGAUUCCAUCAGUCAAAUAGCCAUAAUGUCUAUCCUCCAUAUAUGAUCAUACGGGGUAGGCAGUGCCUCAAUGUAAACUUUCUCUUCUUCAUCAUAACUGAAGCCGUUCAAGAGGUCUAUGAUAUUUAAGUUGUCAAAAUCAAUAUGACCAGUAGGCUGGACCAUCUCUUGCUGUGGUGGUGCAUUAGGUUGCUGUGGAUGGGGUUGCUACACUGAACAACAGAUGGAGUUGAAGUAAUUACUCAGUUCUCUACACUGAUCCUUUGUCACGUCCGUACACAGAAGCAGGUCUAGCAUUAUUGAUCUCCCAUUCAUUGCCUGUAAUAGGUUUUGUAGGGUCACAACUUGUCAGGAAAAUGAACUUGUAUUUUCAAUAUCUGUUGGCUAAUGGUCUAGUGUAGCAUGAAGCAAUUAGCAAAUUGUAGUUAGAUGCCACAAUAAGCAUUUCUCGUGGGAGAAUUUACCUCCAAUUUAUCAGCAUAUGCUUGACGAUAACUACAGAAAGACUCGCUAGAAGGGCGUGCCAAAUAUUACCCUGCUGAGAAAUUUAAUGAUAUAUCAGAACCACGAUCUCUACGAAAACAAGCACAUCAUGGGUAGCUGGUAGCUAGAACUAGUAUGUAUGCUGGCAUCCUAAUGCAACAUCUAUAUGUGAAUUUGAAAAGAGUAUUACGUACAAACUACUUGGUCGGUUCAAUACAAAGUAUCAUCAAACAACAAAAGAAAAAAAGACACGUCUCAAGAGCUGUAGCAGAUUGUAUUAAGUAGAAAGGACCCAAAAAUAGGAGAAAAGAAGGUCAAUACCGUUUCCGUGGUCCUUGGAUCUCCGACAGUGAUCUCUUUUGAGGCUUUAGUACUAGCAGACUGAA